CAUUGUUGCAUAUUCGACUUGCUGCUUAUUCUACAUCAUAUGUGCUUAGAAAGGGCUUAGUUUGUUGUUUUUAGGGGUGGAGGUGGUGGUGGUAAAGAAACAGUAUAUGUAUAAUUACAUCCGCUUUUUUACUUGUGUACGUGACGUCACACGUUGCAUGGCGCCAUAUUGCCGGUUUUAUCUAGAUGCUCGUCAGUUUGGGAGUCGUUGAACUGGAGCAUAUUUUUCAUAUUCCCGAGACCUAUGCUGUUGGUUGUCACAAUGGACGAGACAGUUCUUCAAAGAGAGCAUUCUAUGGAAUACAUGCUGAAAAGAUUGAUGGAUUUCGGCAAUUAAACUGGAUGGAUCGUGUGCAACCAAAUACACACAGCUAUGCAGCAAUCAUUUCAUUUCAGCCUCAGUGACGAACGAUCCGCGGCCGCUUCACAACCAAUCCUUGGCAGCGACCAGCCCCUGGCUGCCUCACAACCUCGCCUCGGCGUUAACCGACCAACGGCUAUCUCCCGACCGAGCCUCGUCAGCGACCGAUCCCCGGCCGCCUCACAACCAUAUCCUGGAAGGUCUUCGUCCGGAGCAGUCGCAUGCUUCCGUCUGGUUCCUGCUUCGCCGUUGGGUUCCUCCUUGAGGACGUCCACCCGAAUCACCCCAUGGGGAGCUUGGUGCUUGGCGUCCGGGCCGACCUCCUGACCUGCCCGGUCGGACGCCUCGCUUUUGGUGGCCAACAGACAGACUGCGGUUGGGGCAGUGAUGGCCUCCCUUGGAUCCCCUUCAACCCGCCCCUGGACAUGUUUUUUUUGUGUGUUUCUUUUGUCUGGGCACGCCUGGGAUCCGUGCCUUAAAAGGGGAGGGGAGGGUGUUCUGUCAUAAACUAAGCUGGACCACGGUCAAGAGGGGUGUGGCCACUGUCCUGGCCGGUAACACCUGUCACUGCUCACAGCUGCUUCACAUUGGGACUGUAAUUAGAUGGUGUAUUUAAAUUGGAGUUGUGGUCACUGGCAUUUGCCAGUUCGUUGUGUUCAUUGUGCCCUGAGUUAGUGAGUUGCUCUGUGUUACCUUGUGCGGAAACUCCUGCAAUAAAACCCAUUGAACAUAAUGCACUGGUCCCGGAGUCCUCCAUUUGGGUCCUCCCCCACACUGAUGGCUUUCUCUAGGUCUACACCAACAGUGAGGGAUGCUGUCAAGCUGAAGAAGGAGUGCUACCGGGCAUUUCUGGCCUGUGUGACUCCUGAGGCAGCUGAUAGGUAUCAAAAUCAGGUGAAGCUACGAGCACAUCAUCUAAGCAGACUAUGAUUUGGCUGCCGCCUGGGGGCUGAAACGUGGACAUGCUUGCCGUCAUAACUUCAAACCCAAACUGGUUGUCUUUGUCAACUGGGACUGAGAAAAAUGCAUUGCUAAUGACUACCACUGUGAAUACAGCAGCGUCUGGUUUCAGAUUGUUUCACAACAUUUGUGGGUCAGGGACACAAGGAGCUCUUUGUAUUACUGCUGAAUUUACUGCAUGUAAAUCCUGAACCUUCCUCCAUGCCACCAAAGGAGGGGCCUGUUUUAGAGGAAAUAUGGGUGUGUUGCAUGGUGAAUCAUUACACUCCACUAUCACUCCUGCAUUCAGCAAGUCAUUGAGUACUGGUUUACUCCCUCGAGUGCAUCUGGUUUGAAUGGAUAUUGUCGCACACAGGGUCUGUACUCGGUUUUGGGUCUGAUUUGCACUGGUAAUGCUUCUUUUAUGAGUCCUACAUCUGAUGGUCCCUGUGACCACAAUUUAUUAGGCAUUCCUUUUAAUAAUUCCUCCUCAUCCUCACUGAGGCCCAAAAGGGUAAAAUUUGUCUCAUCCGGUCAGUAUGAGUGUAUCCCCAUUUGUAUGUGCACUGUCCAAUUAAGUGUGUUUCUGUACAGUUCAGUCUCCUCACUAUAAUCCAAGACUGGUUCUAUUUCUGUCCAAUCAGAAACAUUUUUUGCUGCCUGUACAAAUUGUUGCAAACUCUUCCACUCCUGUAGUGUGUUUGUACAAUAUGUGCGGGGGUGUUCAUUCCUUGUGUUAUGCAUUUAGUUUGUCAGUCAAUUGUGUUCCUGCUGCCACGACUGAUAUACCAUCUGAGUAGAGAUAAUCAAUAGUGAUUUUGGUUGGUGUGGCUUGUAAUAAAUUUCUUGUACUGUUUAUUAGGCCCUUUUAUAUUCUUGUACCACAUGGUGGCAUGCAGUGAGCCACUUCCCAUUUCAUCUUGUGGUUGUUCAAUCAUGUCUUGAGCUGUUUGCAGCAAGAGAUCUCAUGUUCUUGUGGGAUGUUUGUUUGGAACGUCCAAGGUGUAAUGAUAGAGUUCUGGUUUUCUAUUUUCUAAUACAUUGAACUGUCCUCCCAGUAGUUCCUUUUUCUUUUUACUUUGAUAUGUCCUGUCGGAGCCAUCUCUUCCCGACAAAUUUACGGGGCAAUCUGGAACCAUGAGCAUUGUCAAUUUACACUACUCUCCCAGGGAGUCUAUUACCCAAAUGGGAUUUGUUUCGGCGACAACAGAGAGCCUUCCCUUAGCUGUUCUGACAAACACUUUCCUUCCUAACAUCGUGCGUCCUUGAAUGCUUUCUCUACAGGCUGUUUUACACGCCCCUGUGACACAAAAAUUUCGACUUCCCAUUUACUAUCAGUUCCACCUCGGGUUGAGCCCAGUCUCGUGCAAGAAUUUCCUGUAAAUUUAGUUCAAUGUCUGCUUCUUGAGCAUCGGUUGUGACAUUUUGACGGGAGGAUGGCUGCUUCAGUCAUGCGGUGGUGGGUGUUUUGUUUUUAGGGCAGUCAUAUGAAAUGUGACCUUUUUCUCCACAACACCAGCCAUUAAUUUCUGAGAAAAUAAAUAAACUGA